GGCCCAGACUCCUACGGGAGGCAGCAGUGGGGAAUAUUGGACAAUGGGGGGAACCCUGAUCCAGCGACGCCGCGUGAGUGAAGAAGUAUUUCGGUAUGUAAAGCUCUAUCAGCAGGGAAGAAAGAAAUGACGGUACCUGACUAAGAAGCCCCGGCUAACUACGUGCCAGCAGCCGCGGUAAUACGUAGGGGGCAAGCGUUAUCCGGAUUUACUGGGUGUAAAGGGAGCGUAGACGGCGAUGCAAGUCUGAAGUGAAAGGCGGGGGCCCAACCCCCGGACUGCUUUGGAAACUGUAUAGCUGGAGUGCAGGAGAGGUAAGUGGAAUUCCUAGUGUAGCGGUGAAAUGCGUAGAUAUUCGGAGGAACACCGGUGGCGAAGGCGGCCAACUGGGCUUUAACUGACGCUGAGGCUCGAAAGUGUGGGGAGCAAACAGGAUUAGAUACCCGGGUA
rnacentral:rRNA from 1 species